GAAUUGGGAAUGGACAAAGUCUGACCCAGCCAUCCCGCGUGAAGGAUGAAGGAUCUAUGGUUCGUAAACUUCUUUUAUUGGGGAAGAAAAAGUCUCAUUCAUGAGAAACUGACGGUACCCAAUGAAUAAGCACCGGCUAACUCCGUGCCAGCAGCCGCGGUAAUACGGAGGGUGCAAGCGUUAUCCGGAUUCACUGGGUUUAAAGGGUGCGUAGGCGGCUUUAUAAGUCAUUGGUGAAAGCUCGCAGCUUAACUGUGAAACUGCCAAUGAAACUGUUUAGCUUGAAUGUGGUUGAAGUGGGCGGAAUACAACAUGUAGCGGUGAAAUGCUUAGAUAUGUUGUAGAACACCGAUUGCGAAGGCAGCUCACUAAGCCAAUUAUUGACGCUGAGGCACGAAAGCGUGGGUAGCGAACAGGAUUAGAUACCCUGGUAGUCCACGCCCUAAACGAUGAAUACUCGAUGUGUGCUCCUUGUGGGUACGCGUCCAAGCAAAAGCGUUAAGUAUUCCACCUGGGAAGUACGGCCGCAAGGUUAAAACUCAAAGAAAUUGACGGA
rnacentral:rRNA from 1 species